rnacentral:rRNA from 1 species
AACAAGGUCUCCGUUGGUGAACCAGCGGAGGGAUCAUUAGAGAGUGCCCUACUCCCAAAACCCAUGUGAACUUACCUGUACGUUGCCUCGGCGGGGGAGGGGCUGGCCACCCCCCCUCCGCCAGGCGGCCCACCAAACCCUGUUUAGCCCUGAAUCUCUGAGACGAUAAAACAAUGAGUUAAAACUUUCAACAACGGAUCUCUUGGCUCUGGCAUCGAUGAAGAACGCAGCGAAAUGCGAUACGUAGUGUGAAUUGCAGAAUUUAGUGAAUCAUCGAAUCUUUGAACGCACAUUGCGCCCGCCAGUAUUCUGGCGGGCAUGCCUGUUCGAGCGUCAUUUCAACCCCUUAAGCCCUUGUCGCUUAGUGUUGGGAGCCGACGGCGUCCUGCCGUCGCUCCUCAAAUCCAGUGGCGGAGCCGGUUUCGCGCUCUGGGCGUAGUAGAUUUUCUCCAUCUCGCCUGCAGCCGGGGCCGGCCUCCCUGCCGUAAAACCACCACCAAUGUACCCAAAGGUUGACCUCGAAUCAGGUAGGAAUACCCGCUGAACUUAAGCAUAUCAAUAAGCGGAGGAAAAGAAACCAACAGGGAUUGCCCCAGUAACGGCGAGUGAAGCGGCAACAGCUCAAAUUUGAAAUCUGGCCCUCGGGUCCGAGUUGUAAUUUGUAGAGGAUGCUUUUGGCGCGGUGCCUUCCGAGUUCCCUGGAACGGGACGCCUUAGAGGGUGAGAGCCCCGUACGGUUGGACACCAAGCCUCUGUAAAGCGCCUUCGACGAGUCGAGUAGUUUGGGAAUGCUGCUCUAAAUGGGAGGUAAAUUUCUUCUAAAGCUAAAUAUUGGCCAGAGACCGAUAGCGCACAAGUAGAGUGAUCGAAAGAUGAAAAGCACUUUGAAAAGAGGGUUAAACAGCACGUGAAAUUGUUGAAAGGGAAGCGUUUGCGACCAGACCUCUCCCCGGCGGAUCAUCCGGCGUUCUCGCCGGUGCACUUCGCCGGGCUGAGGCCAGCAUCGGUUUCCGCGGGGGGACAAAAGCGGGGGGAACGUAGCUCCCUCGGGAGUGUUAUAGCCCCCCGCAUAAUACCCUCGCGGGGACCGAGGACCGCGCUUCGGCAAGGAUGCUGGCGUAAUGGUCGUCAACGACCCGUCUUGAAACACGGACCAAGGAGUCGAACAUUUGUGCGAGUGUUUGGGUGUCAAACCCUCACGCGUAAUGAAGGUGAACGUAGGUGAGAGCCUUCACGGGCGCAUCAUCGACCGAUCCUGAUGUCUUCGGAUGGAUUUGAGUAAGAGCAUAACUGUUCGGACCCGAAAGAUGGUGAACUAUGCGUGGAUAGGGUGAAGCCAGAGGAAACUCUGGUGGAGGCUCGCAGCGGUUCUGACGUGCAAAUCGAUCGUCAAAUCUGCGCAUGGGGGCGAAAGACUUAUCGAACCAUCUAGUAGCUGG